CCUUGAGAUCGGAGUGCUUGCACUCUGUGAAACAAGAUACAGGCUAGCGGCGGACGGGUGAGUAACACGUGGGUAACCUGCCCAGGAGAUCGGGAUAACACCUGGAAACAGAUGCUAAUACCGGAUAACAACAGAUGAUGCCUAUCAACUGUUUAAAAGAUGGUUCUGCUAUCACUCUUGGAUGGACCUGCGGUGCAUUAGCUAGUUGGUAGGGUAACGGCCUACCAAGGCGAUGAUGCAUAGCCGAGUUGAGAGACUGAUCGGCCACAUUGGGACUGAGACACGGCCCAAACUCCUACGGGAGGCAGCAGUAGGGAAUCUUCCACAAUGGACGCAAGUCUGAUGGAGCAACGCCGCGUGAGUGAAGAAGGGUUUCGGCUCGUAAAGCUCUGUUGUUGGUGAAGAAGGACAGGGGUAGUAACUGACCUUUGUUUGACGGUAAUCAAUUAGAAAGUCACGGCUAACUACGUGCCAGCAGCCGCGGUAAUACGUAGGUGGCAAGCGUUGUCCGGAUUUAUUGGGCGUAAAGCGAGUGCAGGCGGCUCGAUAAGUCUGAUGUGAAAGCCUUCGGCUCAACCGGAGAAUUGCAUCAGAAACUGUCGAGCUUGAGUACAGAAGAGGAGAGUGGAACUCCAUGUGUAGCGGUGAAAUGCGUAGAUAUAUGGAAGAACACCGGUGGCGAAGGCGGCUCUCUGGUCUGUUACUGACGCUGAGGCUCGAAAGCAUGGGUAGCG
rnacentral:rRNA from 1 species